AAUUAGAGUUACCAAAAAAUGACUUUAGGAAACAUUAUCAAAAUUAAGCAAAGUUUCUAGGAGAGCUUUCCUUCAUAAAACCAUCCAAAAUCAAUGCUUGGGCCUUAGAACCAAUUCUAAGACACAUCUUAAAAUUCUUUAGAGUUUGCUCCCAAUGUUCUCCAUCAAUGUGUUGGCAUUGUUUGAUGAAUAUGAGUAAGUUCAAGUCUUUGAUGUGUCAAUUUAUGACCCUUGAAAUAUGAGAGGCAGUUUGGUCAUAGUCUAGGAUAGAUGUUGUUGUGUAUUUAAGUGUGUGAGAGUGAGUGUGUGUCCCACAUUGAUUGUGUAAAAAGAUGGGAGUGGGCAUUUAUAUUUCUCCCUCUCACUUGGGUUUGGGUCUUAAGGGGCACCCAAAUUUUGUGAGCGGGUGAACCCCUUUUGCCCACGCGCACCACUGCCACCGUUGUCUGUCCGGAUUCCGUCCAUUAUUUCUCCGACUGUUCGAUUGCUUCAAACAUCGGGUAUUUAUGCUGAUGUUUAAUGCCAGCGGCGAUUGGAGCGUCUCCAAAGCCCUAUAUAAGGCCGGUUUCCCUCAGUGUCUGGGCAUCGAUGCCGUAGCCUGUUGUAACCGGUACAGGGCGUAUCUACCUUCAGGACAGCGCCUCCGGCGUGCUUCAACCACUGUCUCCGUUUCCAGAUCUGUUGCUCCGGCGACUUCCUGGUUUGAAUUUCCAGCCUCCUAUAUCUCUUCAGUUUGAAUGCCGUUCCAGUUAUUUUGUGUUGAAUCUUCUUGCUAUUACAAGAUACGGAUAUAUUUCUAUAUUGUUGCUGCCUA